UGGGGAAUAUUGGGCAAUGGGCGAAAGCCUGACCCAGCGACGCCGCGUGGGUGAUGACGGCCUUCGGGUUGUAAAGCCCUGUCAUGUGGGAAGAACGGCCUCAUGGUUAAUACCCAUGGGGAUUGACGGUACCACAGGAGGAAGCACCGGCUAACUCCGUGCCAGCAGCCGCGGUAAUACGGAGGGUGCUAGCGUUGUUCGGAAUUAUUGGGCGUAAAGGGCGCGUAGGCGUUUAAGUAAGUCAGAUGUUAAAU
rnacentral:rRNA from 1 species